CAAGAAACUGCGGUUAAAACUGCAAGCUAGCCCUGACGGCCUGACCGCAUGAAUCGCUUCCGUGAGGAACCGAAACAUUCAUCAGGUCAGGCGAAUCGAUCAUAUCAAAGAUCUCAGCGAAGCUCCGGUGACAGCGGCAGCCGCGCACUACGGACGGCCCCCGGCGCUGACGACGCUUCCGUGCAGGCGCCGGCUCCGGCGCGGAUGUCAGGAUGUGCCCGUGCUCGCCGGCGCCGCAUUUACGCACGCACGGUUACAAUGAACUCUGGAGCGGCAGGCGGGGAGGUGAUGGGAUGAUGAGCAGGGCGUGUGCGUACGUGGUGAUGGCGCCGGAUCAUCAGACUGGCUCGCUGACUUCGCGGGGAAGUUGUGUGAGUACAGGUACUGACGCCUUUCGUCUGGGCAUCGCGUGAGUCGCCGGGCAAUGAAGGCGGGAUGCUCACGGACACCGUUGGCCAUGGACGCUAGUAAAUGUGAGAUAAGGAGCCUGACUGACUGACCAACUGACUGACCCAGACUGACUGACUGGCCUUUCAGUAGCAGUCAGUUUCCUGACUGUCAGAGUCGCGUCAGUCAGUUGCAGAGUGAUUGUGUGUUCAGACUCCAGACUUCGGAGCCGUGAAACUUUCCGAUCAGCUGCAUGGUUGGUAGCAGCCUUUCAGGAUCGGCUGCUGGCGUACAGCCUCCACUGCGUCUCAGAUUUCAGUACUUGCAGCUUCUGAAUUCACGGAGUAGAUUUAAUUACACGCACAAGCCAAGGCCUUUCCGCCCACCCC
rnacentral:lncRNA from 1 species